rnacentral:tRNA from 1 species
UCUAAGGAUGAAUGAAAGUAAAAUUUCAUUCUAAAUAAUAUACAUCGGUAAUGUUGACCGUCCUCAUUUCUCUUCUUAAAAUAAUGUUUCCUUCUUGUAGGGCCGGUAGCUCAGUUGGUUAGAGCACACCCUUGAUAAGGGUGGGGUCGAAAGUUCGAGUCUUUCUCGGCCCACCAUACUUAACUGGGGGAUUAGCUCAGCUGGGAGAGCGCCUGAUUUGCAUUCAGGAGGUCAGCGGUUCGAUCCCGCUAUCCUCCACCAGGAAACAUUUAGUUAUAAAAAUUGUGAAUAAAAAUAAUAAUUAAUAUCAAUAUCUAUAUCCGAACAUUAGUAAUGUUAUUAGCUAAUGUUCAAAAUAAAAAUUUGAUUCAACACAGAAAAAUUUUUUUCUGUGCAUAAAU